rnacentral:tRNA from 5 species
GGCCCCCUGGUCAAGCGGUCAAGACGCGACCCUCUCACGGUCGAAUCAGGGGUUCGAUUCCCCUGGGGGUCA